rnacentral:lncRNA from 1 species
AGGGGAGGCAUCCUAUAUUCUAGAAAUAAAGAUCUAUAGAGAUAGAUCAAAAAGGAUGUUUGACUUUUCAUAGAAAAUAUAUAUAGAGAAAGUGUUGAAAAGAUUCAGCAUGAAGAAUUCUAAAAGGGGACUACUAUCCCUUAGACAUAGUAUCACUCUCCAACUUUUCAUAGAAAAUGUAUAUAGAGAAAGUGCUGAAAAGAUUCAGCAUGAAGAACUCUAAAAGGAGACUACUACCCCUUAGACAU